CAAGUCGAACGAGAAUGUGUAGCAAUACACAUGUACAGUGGCGAACGGGUGAGGAAUACAUGGGUAACCUACCCUCGAGUGGGGAAUAACUAGCCGAAAGGUUAGCUAAUACCGCGUACGCUUCCCGGACUGCGGUUCGGGAAGGAAAGCGAUACCGUGGGUAUCGCGCUCUUGGAUGGGCUCAUGCCCUAUCAGCUUGUUGGUGAGGUAACGGCUCACCAAGGCUUCGACGGGUAGCUGAUCUGAGAGGAUGAUCAGCCACACUGGCACUGCGACACGGGCCAGACUCCUACGGGAGGCAGCAGUAAGGAAUAUUGCGCAAUGGGCGAAAGCCUGACGCAGCGACGCCGCGUGGGGGAUGAAGGUCUUCGGAUUGUAAACCCCUUUCGGGAGGGAAGAUGGGAUGGGGUAACCCAUUCGGACGGUACCUCCAGAAGCAGCCACGGCUAACUUCGUGCCAGCAGCCGCGGUAAUACGAAGGUGGCAAGCGUUGUUCGGAUUUACUGGGCGUACAGGGAGCGUAGGCGGUUGGAUAAGCCCUCCGUGAAAUCUCCAGGCUUAACCUGGAAAAGUGCAGAGGGGACUGUUCAGCUAGAGGAUGGGAGAGGAGCGCGGAAUUCCCGGUGUAGCGGUGAAAUGCGUAGAGAUCGGGAGGAAGGCCGGUGGCGAAGGCGGCGCUCUGGAACAUUUCUGACGCUGAGGCUCGAAAGCGUGGGGAGCAAACAGGAUUAGAUACCCUGGUAGUCCACGCCUUAAACGAUGGAUACUAAGUGUCGGCGGGUUACCGCCGGUGCCGCAGCUAACGCAGUAAGUAUCCGCCUGGGAAGU
rnacentral:rRNA from 1 species